CUCUUGGGUCUGUCCUAAGUAAUCUCUGCCCUAUGAAUAGUUUAAAUGGCCGCAGUACUCUGACUGUGCAAAGGUAGCAUAAUCAUUUGCUUCUUAAUUAGAAGCCGGAAUGAAAGAGGCGACGAAAUCUAGGCUAUCAAAAUUUUUAGUAUAAAUUGACAACCAGGUCAAAAGGCCCGGAUGCUACAGGGGGACGACAAGACCCUAUAAAACUUUACCUUUCGCGCGGUGGUUAGCAGAAUGCCGCUGGGCACAACGGUUUUACUGGGGCGGUGCGUGUAAAAACAACUUGAGGUCUAAUAUAUUAAAUAAAGCGAUAUAACUCUUAUAGAAAUAGAAUAAGUUACUUUAGGGAUAANAGCGUAAUUACCC
rnacentral:rRNA from 1 species